rnacentral:rRNA from 1 species
UACGGGGGAGGCAAGCGUUGUUCGGAAUUACUGGGCGUAAAGGGCUCUAGGCGGCCAACUAAGUCAUACUGAAAUCCCUCGGCUUAACCGGGGAACUGCGUCUGAUACUGGAUGGCUUGAGUUCGGGAGAGGGAUGCGGAAUUCCAGGUGUAGCGGUGAAAUGCGUAGAUAUCUGGAGGAACACCGGUGGCGAAGGCGGCAUCCUGGACCGAUACUGACGCUGAGGCGCGAAAGCGUGGGGAGCGAAACAGG